ensembl:antisense Gm28501 predicted gene 28501
UGCCUCUUACCUAAAGAAUGUGCAGCUGUGGUUUUGGAGCUGAAAAACCGACCAAGCCCAAGGUCUCCGAGUUUUACUACCCCAGUGGCUGUAAUGAACACAUUAGCUGGUUUUAUAUCUGUGGAUAAAUGAAGAGAUCAGACCCUGGAGCCCCGGGUGCACGGCUCAUGUCUCAGUGUGAGUCUUUAGCAUCCUCAAGAAAUUCCCGAGAAAGCUUCAUUGAAACCACCCAGCAUACAUUCCUAACAGAGAAGGAAAAAUGAUCCUGACUUGAAACAGGACCUCGAAUCAUCAGGAAAGGAAAUCUCAGGGAGAAAUGUCUGUGCUUCGGGCAUUCCUAUACGGGCUUAUCUUAAUUGGGUUAACUGAGGCUGGACAUCCCACUCUGACUAUGAGCAGCACAUCAUGGGCUGGGCCCUGA